rnacentral:rRNA from 1 species
UACAGAGGUCUCAAGCGUUGUUUCGGAUUCAUUGGGCGUAAAGCGUGCGCAGGCGGCUUGCAGAACAGAUGUGAAAACUCCCGGGCUCAACCUGGGAACUGACAUUUGUGACUGCAUGGCUGGAGUGCGGGCAGAGGGGGAUGGAAUUCCGCGUGUAAGCAGUGAAAUGCGUAGAUAUGCGGAGGAACACCGAUGGCGAAGGCAAUCCCCUGGGCCUGCACUGACGCUCAAUGCACGAAAGCGUGGGGAGCAAACAGG